UACGUAGGGUCCGAGCGUUGUCCGGAAUUACUGGGCGUAAAGAGCUCGUAGGUGGUUUGUCGCGUUGUUCGUGAAAACUCACAGCUCAACUGUGGGCGUGCGGGCGAUACGGGCAGACUUGAGUACUGCAGGGGAGACUGGAAUUCCUGGUGUAGCGGUGGAAUGCGCAGAUAUCAGGAGGAACACCGGUGGCGAAGGCGGCCUGCUGGGCAGUUGCUGACACUGAGGCGCGACAGCGUGGGGAGCAAACAGG
rnacentral:rRNA from 1 species